AGCAAUAGUACUUUCUUGCUUAUUGUCGUAGAAAUAGCUGGCUUAUGUGUUAUUGUGCUUUCUUGCUUUUAACCUAGCUUAUUGCUUUAGAAAUGUAUAAUUACUUGCUGAAUAGUUCAAGUUUUUGCGCAGGUACGACACAUUUGAGCAAGUUUAAAUAUUUGGAACCAUGUCUAGCCCGGACCACAAUCUACACCUGCUUCCACAGAGCCUAAGCAUCCUUCACGUCAUCUGCUAGAAAAAGGCAAUAACCAACUGUUCGAUGAAAAGAACUUCUAUAACAACACUAGGAUACAUGGAUGCAUGGUAUAAUUGAAUGGAAGUACGGUAUAUUGAAAAAUAGAAUUCCUUUUUUUUAAUAACCCUUUUGAAAGUAAUCAAAUCCUAAUCCCUGGAUACGAUCAAUGCUCUGAGUUAUCAAAGGUAAAAGCAGCAGCAUUCUUGUUGAAAAUGGACUCUGCUUGGUUGUAAGUCCUUGUCUGUGGGAUUAACAUGAAACAUUUUGUUCCUUUAGCAGACUGCUCUUCACAUUGCAGCAUGUGCAAGGCAUAUUCACUUUGUGGGGGAACUGGUCAAAAUGAUGGAUGAAUAAGACUUGGCACUUCAAUACAAGAAAGAAAACACUGAAUUGAGUUUUGCCGCUGAAGCUGGAGACAUAGAAAUUGCCAAGAUUAUGAUUUAGAAAAAAUAAGUUCUUGCCAACAAUUCAAACUGGUAAAGGACUGACACUGCUCUUUAUGGCUGCGUUGCUAGGACGGUCUGAAAUGGCAUACCCGAAAACGUAUCCAAUGCUAAA